rnacentral:tRNA from 1 species
AAUAAUGUAAGCUAAAUUAAAGCUAUCAGGUUCAUACCCUGCAAAUACUACAAUGUCUUUAUAU